CAGCAGCCGCGGGAAUACGUAGGUGGCAAGCGUUGUCCGGAAUUAUUGGGCGUAAAGGGCUCGCAGGCGGUUUCUUAAGUCUGAUGUGAAAGCCCCCGGCUCAACCGGGGAGGGUCAUUGGAAACUGGGAAACUUGAGUGCAGAAGAGGAGAGUGGAAUCCCACGUGUAGCGGUGAAAUGCGCAGAGAUAUGGAGGAACACCAGUGGCGAAGGCGACUUUCUGGUCUGUAACUGACGCUGAUGUGCGAAAGCGUGGGGAUCAAACAGGAUUAGAUACCCCAGUAGUCCCUGUCUCUUAUAC
rnacentral:rRNA from 1 species